UACAGAGGGGGCAAGCGUUGUUCGGAAUUACUGGGCGUAAAGGGCGCGUAGGCGGCCUUCUAAGUCGAACGUGAAAUCCCUGGGCUCAACCCAGGAACUGCGUCCGAUACUGCAAAUCUCGAGUCCGGAAGAGGUGAGUGGAAUUCCUAGUGUAGAGGUGAAAUUCGUAGAUAUUAGGAAGAACACCAGUGGCGAAGGCGGCUCACUGGUCCGGUACUGACGCUGAGGUGCGAAAGCGUGGGGGAGCAAACAGGG
rnacentral:rRNA from 1 species